rnacentral:lncRNA from 1 species
AAAUUUCUCCAUUGUUAUUCUUGCAACUUAUCUGGAUUCCAAAAUAGUUGAGCAACCGUCAUCAAUUGUCAGCAGCGGCAUUAUCUCCGGCAGAGGUGUAACCACCGGUUUUCAUACAGAUCCGGUGGUUGUCACUAGAUUGAUGAGGUUUUGGUUGGGAUUCGCGACUUGGUGAGAUGUGCAGGUUAUAAGGUUGGUGACCAAGAUGAAAAGCUGGCAGAAGGUAUAAAGCUUUAGCUGGGGUGUUCGAGAGAUUUACUGAGAGACCAAUCAAAGUGGUGAUAUUGUUGAUAGUUCGGGUUCGGCUACGGAUGUGGCGUUUUCGAAUAGUACGAAAAGGGUGUUUGAAGUUGCGGUUGAGUAUUCAAGAACUAUGGGGAAAAUAAAUAAGAAGAGUGCAGGACUGGGGAUGAAACAUUUCGAUCUUAAUUAAGUGGGAGAAGUAGAGUUGCCGCGGUUCAUAACCAGUUUGAACAGGCUAAUUGUUUGUAAGUUUGUAAUA